rnacentral:rRNA from 3 species
GCCUUAGUAACGGCGAGUGAAGCGGCAACAGCUCAAAUUUGAAAUCUGGCCCCAGGCCCGAGUUGUAAUUUGCAGAGGAUGCUUUUGGCGCGGUGCCUUCCGAGUUCCCUGGAACGGGACGCCAUAGAGGGUGAGAGCCCCGUCUGGUUGGAUACCAAGCCUUUGUAAAGCUCCUUCGACGAGUCGAGUAGUUUGGGAAUGCUGCUCUAAAUGGGAGGUAUAUGUCUUCUAAAGCUAAAUACCGGCCAGAGACCGAUAGCGCACAAGUAGAGUGAUCGAAAGAUGAAAAGCACUUUGGAAAGAGAGUUAAACAGCACGUGAAAUUGUUAAAAGGGAAGCGUUUAUGACCAGACUUGGGCCGGUUAAUCAUCCAGCGUUCUCGCUGGUGCACUUUGCCGGUCCAGGCCAGCAUCAGUUCGCUGCGGGGGAUAAAGGCGUCGGGAAUGUGGCUCCUCCGGAGUGUUAUAGCCCUUCGCGCAAUACCCUGCGGUGGACUGAGGUUCGCGCAUCUGCAAGGAUGCUGGCGUAAUGGUCAUCAACGACCCGUCUUGAAACACGGACCAAGGAGUCGUCUUCGUAUGCGAGUGUUCGGGUGUAAAACCCCUACGCGUAAUGAAAGUGAACGCAGGUGAGAGCUUCGGCGCAUCAUCGACCGAUCCUGAUGUUCUCGGAUGGAUUUGAGUAAGAGCAUACGGGGCCGGACCCGAAAGAAGGUGAACUAUGCCUGUAUAGGGUGAAGCCAGAGGAAACUCUGGUGGAGGCUCGCAGCGGUUCUGACGUGCAAAUCGAUCGUCAAAUAUGGGCAUGGGGGCGAAAGACUAAU